rnacentral:rRNA from 1 species
UACGAAGGGGGCUAGCGUUGUUCGGAAUCACUGGGCGUAAAGCGUAUGUAGGCGGAUCGUUAAGUCGGGGGUGAAAUCCCGAGGCUCAACCUCGGAACUGCCUUCGAUACUGGCGAUCUUCGAGUCCGGGAGAGGUGAGUGGAACUCCGAGUGUAGAGGUGAAAUUCGUAGAUAUUCGGAAGAACACCAGUGGCGAAGGCGGCUCACUGGUCCGGUACUGACGCUGAUAUACGAAAGCGUGGGGAGCAAACAGG